GUGGCCAUUUGGUUUGACUAGGUUAAUAGACCGAAUUGUUGAAAUUAUUUUUACGAAAAUAUUGAAAUAGAUAUAAAAACUGCUAAUACAUCCGUUUUCUUCAGGAUACUUUUAUAAAAAUAUCGAAAUAGAUAUACAAAACUGAAGUGUAACAACAUAAGAUUUUCUACUCCAUCAAAGAUUUCCUAGUUAAUCUCCACGACCGUCCAAUCUAAGUGGUCUUCCUAUUCCCGUACUUCUGUCCC
rnacentral:lncRNA from 1 species